GUUCCAGCAGCCGCGGUAAUACGAAGGGGGCUAGCGUUGUUCGGAAUUACUGGGCGUAAAGGGCGUGUAGGCGGUCCGCUAAGACAGGUGUGAAAUUCCUGGGCUCAACCCAGGACGUGCGCCUGUGACUGACGGACUUGAGUCCGGGAGAGGAUGGUGGAACUCCCAGUGUAGAGGUGAAAUUCGUAGAUAUUGGGAAGAACACCCGUGGCGAAGGCGGCCAUCUGGACCGGUACUGACGCUAAGGCGCGACAGCGUGGGGAGCAAACAGGAUUAGAAACCCCUGUAGUCC
rnacentral:rRNA from 1 species